rnacentral:lncRNA from 1 species
GGUCGAGCUGCAUAAAUUGCAGAGUGCAAAGUAAAUCCAGCUUGGUUUACUCCCAGGUUAGUACUCCCACGGUCAACUACAUCUCCCUGAAUAUUGAUUUUAACCAGACUGGAGGCAGUAACUUCACUGUAAAGAAGUCCAAAAGGUACAAUGAGGAAGUGUUCCUGCUCAGAAUUUACUCUGGCUGUUAUAUGAUUGUAAAUAAGCUGAGACCAGCCAAAGAGAUCUGCUAAUCUGUAGAAAGCCGCCAAUUUACAUCGUAAUAACUUCUCCCCUUUUUCA